rnacentral:rRNA from 1 species
UACGGAGGGAGCGUAGCGUUGUUCGGAAUUACUGGCGUAAAGCGUACGUAGGCGGUUAUUCAAGUCAGAGGUGAAAGGCCCGGGGCUACCAACCCCGGGAACUGCCAUUUGAAAACUAGAUAGCUAGAAUCUUGGAGAGGUCAGUGGAAUUCCGAAGUGUAGAGGUGAAAUUCGUAGAUAUUCGGAAGAAACACCAGUGGCGAAGGCGGUUCUCUGGGCCUGGUACUGACGCUGAGGAGCGAAAGCGUGGGGAGCGAAACAGG